AGCAGAAUUCUGAUAAGAUGGAGGAAAGAAAAGCCAGAGUGAAGCAGACCAUUAGCAGAUAAUUGUCAUAAUCUUGAUACUAAAUGGAGACCAGAAUUAAGUCAGAACACUGAAUACAGAAACUUGAAGAACAACAUCAUUUCAGUCAGGAGUACCAAAAAGAGCUUUUAAGAAAACGGAAGCAGAAAAUGGCGUAGAAGAAGCUGAACCUAAAAUAUUCAUUGAAGUCAGAAGGUAAAGGAUCCUUUGAUGUAGUCCAUUCAGAGCAGAAGGAGAAGAAUGCAAAGUGGAUCUGCAGGGACAAAUAGAAGAUGCAGUGCAAUGGAGACACUGUUUAAUGCCACAGGGGACCUGGGCUCCUUUCGUCUCUCCUAUGUAAAGAGAAUUUCCUCCAGCCGAGUAAAACUGAUGGGAUUGGUCAGCCUUCUAGACAACAGAAAUAAAUAAUUCUCUCUGUGAAGAAUGACAAAUAUUCCUAUGACUAUGAAAACUAUAAACCUACUUUCAAUUUAUAAUCUUAGAAAGAUUCAGGGAAAUGAACAAUCUAUGAUAU